rnacentral:rRNA from 1 species
UACGGAGGAGGCAGGCGUUAUCCGGAAUUAUUGGGCGUAAAGCGUCCGCAGGUGGCACUUCAAGUCUGUCGUCAAAGACUGGGGCUUAACCCUGGGAAGGCGGUGGAAACUGAAGCGCUAGAGUGCGGUAGGGGUAGAGGGAAUUCCCGGUGUAGCGGUGAAAUGCGUAGAGAUCGGGAAGAACAUCGGUGGCGAAAGCGCUCUACUGGACCGCAACUGACACUCAGGGACGAAAGCUAGGGGAGCGAAUGGG